AACGCGGGCUUCACAAACUUUGCAUACUGCAAAUGAAAAUAACACCCUCAAAACAAGAAAACUGGAAAAAUAGAGGAAGCUCGGAAAAAACAACUCUGUUAUAUAGAAGAACAGUUCAGAGAGCAGAGUUAAGCAAAUUGCUGGUUUUGUGUCCUAUUUGAAGAAAGUUUAACUUUACUUGUGUGGUGUUCCUCGCGAUUAGUUAAGCAAACCUGAAAGAAUGUCGCCGUUGACUUUUAAUGCAGAA